GCUGCGAUGGCCGAGUGGUUAAGGCGUUGGAAUCGAAAUCCAAUGGGAUAUUCCCGCGCAGGUUCGAAUCCUGUUCGCAGCG
rnacentral:tRNA from 1 species